rnacentral:lncRNA from 1 species
GUCAAGAAGGAGAGAUCAACAAGAUGAGCCCUCUGGCGUUUGGGAAGGAAAUGCCAAAAUCCCACGUGGUCUGGGGGAAGAGAACACUCGCACCACUUCACAAGGACGAGCAAUAUCGUGAGCUCAGGGACCCUAAAAACUGUUAUGGAAAUCCCAGAAAGCCUUGGGAACUCGGGCUGACAAGGGGAAUGGAAGCGUAGGUGCGAAGGAGAGCACUAUGCAGAGAAUCCUGGGCAGAACAACAGAGCAGAAAGAGAAAACCCCGAAAUGGGCAGUUACCACAUCUUUCUAGGAUCUUUUACAGUGUUGAGAAAGAGCAGAGCUUUCCCUUCCCAGAUGGAACAGCGCUCACAUGGGCAGAGGCUGGAUGGACAACUGAGAGAGCUGCAUCAGAGCAAGGGCGCACUGCACGCAGCACAAGUCAGAGAGGAAAAUGUAGAUCAAUCUUUGGAGCAAAGCUCAGCGCCCUAGGGCGCCUCGUCAUCAGAAGUUCUGGAUCUGCGAGAGGAUGAGAGAAAGGCGUCCUCACCCCUGACAGCUGUAUUUGGUGCAUUUUCUUCUCCACUACAGCAGAAGAAUAAGCAUGGUCGUGUCCGCAUUCCUGGGCCCCUGGCUGACCUCUGAGCUGAGCUUCUCCUCCGAGCAGAUCCAGUUACCCUGAACAUUCAUGUCCCUUUGCUUGGCGUCUUCCAAAAAAGGCAAAUGUGGAAAGGCCUCGUGAAGUUUUUCUCUCCAACAUUUAAUUAUGGAAAUUUCAAAACACAAUGGAAAUAUGAAAUAAUUUUUUAUUUAACCCCAUAUUCCCACAGUGUUGAUUCUACCAUUAACAUUUGAAUGUACUUGCUUUAUGUCUAUCUGUCCAUGUGUUCAUAGUCCUUCCGUCAACCUGUCUUAAUUUUAAUCCAUUUCAAGGAAUGUUACAGACAUCAGUAACAUGUGCCCUAAAUAUUUCAAAAUGUGUAGUGCUAGAGUUCAAUAUUAUUACAGUUUAUUUUACCUAAAAAUUGUACCCUAUCAAAUGCACAUCUCCUAAGUGAUGAGUUUUCACAAGUGCGUGUACCUGUGGAACCCAAGCCCCUUCAAGUUGUAGACCAUGAGCCUUAUGUCCACAAAACCCCCUCUCGCCCCUUCCCAGUCAGUCCCCACAUCGAAUCAGGAAAGACAACCGCUGUUCUGAUUUUUCUGCCUCAUGGGUACAUUUUGCCUGUUCUAGAACUUCACAUUGAAUCAUACAGUGUGUACUCUGACUCAGCAUAAGGAUGUCGUGUGUAUCCGUCAUUCUCCUCUGUCAUCAGUUUGAAUUCUUGAAGCCCCGAGUCACCCCUCCGUGCCGGCUGCAGACAGGAUUCCGCACAUCCUUCCUACCAGUGCCCAGCUCCAAAGAGCCCACGGGGGGCAGGAUGCCUGGGCAGGGGGCUCACUCACAUGGUGGCCUCCCAGGGACACGGCUCUGAGUCCUGCUGUGUUUCACCAGCUCCCCAGCUCCCUGACAGCAGUGGGCUCAUACAACACACUCCAUGCUGCGCCACUGCCCUGGGCUUGACUCGUGCUUCAGAGAGAGAAAGAGCAGUGUGUAUGUGUGUGUGUACAAUUCACUGUGUGUGUGAGUGUGUGUUGUCAGAUAAUAGCUCUCAUUUAUUG